GCAGACAAUGGAAAGGGACAGAUCUCAAGAGACUGGUAUUUUUAAGAAGAAGCCAGCUGAUUUGAUGCAAAUCUUCAAGGAUGUACAAUCUAAAGUAAGUGCUGUUGUACUUGGAAAGGAAAAACCAGUUGAAGAAUCGAAUCCUGAAUAUGAGAAACUGAAACAUUAUAUCUUUGAGCUUGAAGAUCACUUAGCUGAAGCUUAGAAGCAUGCAUAUCGCCUAGUAAAGAGACACAGAGAAUUGGGGCAAUCCCUGUCAGAUUUUGGGAAGGCAGUCAAACUUCUUGGCACUUGUGAAGGAGAUGCUCUUGGAAAGGUAUUCUCUGAGCUUGGGGCAAAAUCAGAGAUUUUGUCAAUUAAGCUGCAGAAGGAGGUAAGCCUCAUCAAUGGAUCAUCCCUUGACAUUAAAUUGACAUGCUGUUUGGAAUUUUUCUUCUAACAGAUUUGGAUUUACAUGUUGUUUUACCUAACUGAAACUAAAUUGACAUGCUGUU